rnacentral:tRNA from 1 species
UCCCGUGUGGCUCAGUUGAUAGAGCAUGGUGUUUGCAACACCAGGGUUGUGGGUUCGAUUCCCACAGGGGAC